rnacentral:rRNA from 1 species
UCAAUAAGCGGAGGAAAAGAAACUAACAAGGAUUCCCCUAGUAACUGCGAGUGAAGCGGGAAAAGCUCAAAUUUAAAAUCUGGCGGUCUUUGGCCGUCCGAGUUGUAAUUUAGAGAAGCGUCUUCCGCGCCGGACCGUGCACAAGUCUCCUGGAAUGGAGCGUCAUAGAGGGUGAGAAUCCCGUCUUUGGCACGGAUGCCUGGUGCUUCUGUGAUGCGCUCUCGAAGAGUCGAGUUGUUUGGGAAUGCAGCUCAAAAUGGGUGGUGAACUCCAUCUAAAGCUAAAUAUUGGCGAGAGACCGAUAGCGAACAAGUACCGUGAGGGAAAGAUGAAAAGCACUUUGGAAAGAGAGUGAAACAGUACGUGAAAUUGUUGAAAGGGAAACGCUUGAAGUCAGUCGCGUCGACCGAGACUCAGCCUUGCCUCGGCUUGGUGUACUUCUCGGCCCGACGGGUCAGCGUCAAUUUUGCCCCUCGGAUAAUGGCAAGGGAAAGGUGGCACCUUUACGGGUGUGUUAUAGUCUCCUGUCGCAUGCGAGGGAUGGGAUUGAGGAACUCAGCGCGCACCUUGGUGUCGGGGCUUCGGCCCACGUCACGCGCUUAGGAUGCUGGCGUAAUGGCUUUAAACGACCCGUCUUGAAACAC